rnacentral:rRNA from 1 species
CGCGUAAAGAACUUGCCCUCUAGACUGGGACAACUGUUGGAAACGACAGCUAAUACCGGAUAUUAUGAGAACCUCGCAUGGGGAACUUAUGAAAGGCUAUAUGCGCUAGAGGAGAGCUUUGCGUGCCAUUAGGUAGUUGGUAGGGUAAUGGCCUACCAAGCCGACGAUGGCUAGCCGGCCUGAGAGGGUGAUCGGCCACAAGGGGACUGAGACACGGCCCUUACUCCUACGGGAGGCAGCAGUGGGGAAUAUUGGACAAUGGACCAAAAGUCUGAUCCAGCAAUUCUGUGUGCACGAUGA